UAUUAUGAAUGGCCCGUUAGUUAUUAUGAACGACCCGUUUAGUUAUUAUGAAUGGCCCGUUAUGUUUUAUGAAUGGCCCGUUAGUUAUUAUGAAUGGCCCAUUCGUUAUUAUGAAUGGUCCGUUCGUUAUUAUGAAUGGCCCUUUAGUUAUUAUGAAUGGCCGAUUUAGGUUUUAUGAAUGGCCCGUUAGGUUUUAUGAAUUAGUUAUUAUGAAUGGUCCAUUCGUUAUUAUGAAUGGCCUGUUAGUUAUUAUGGAUGGCCCGUUAGUUAUUAUGGAUGGCCCGUUAGUUAUUAUGAAUGGCCCGUUAGGUUUUAUAAAUGGCCCGUUAGUUAUUAUGAAUGGCCCAUUCAUUUUAUGAAUGGCCCGUUAGUUAUUAUGAAUGGCCCGUUAGUUAUUAUGAAUGGCCCGUUAGUUAUUAUGUUAGUUAUUACGUUAGUUAUUAUUAGUUCCAGUAGAUUUGUUUUUGUGUCGUUAUUACGGUAAAGGUCUGACUGUCUUUGUGUCGUUAUUACGGUAAAGGUCUGACUGUCUUUGUGUCGUUAUUACGGUAAAGGUCUGACUGUCUUUGUGUCGUUAAUACGGUAAAGGUCUGACUGUCUUUGUGUCGUUAUUACGGUAAAGGUCUGACUGUCUUUGUGUCGUUAUUACGGUAAAGGUCUGACUGUCUUUGUGUCGUUAUUACGGUAAAGGUCUGACUUUGUGGCGUUAAUACGGUAAAGGUCUGACUUUGUGGCGUUAUUACGGUAAAGGUCUGUCUUUGUGUCGUUAAUACGGUAAAGGUCUGACUGUCUUUGUGUCGUUAUUACGGUAAAGGUCUGACUGUCUUUGUGUCGUUAUUACGGUAAAGGUCUGACUGUCUUUGUGUCGUUAUUACGGUAAAGGUCUGACUGUCUUUGUG